CCUACGGGAGGCAGCAGUAGGGAAUCUUCCGCAAUGGACGAAAGUCUGACGGAGCAACGCCGCGUGAGCGAUGAAGGCCUUCGGGUCGUAAAGCUCUGUUGUUAGGGAAGAACAAGUACCGUUCAAAUAGGGCGGUACCUUGACGGUACCUGACGAGAAAGCCACGGCUAACUACGUGCCAGCAGCCGCGGUAAUAGNUCAAGCUUAU
rnacentral:rRNA from 1 species